GAUGAACGCUGGUGGCGUGCCUAAUACAUGCAAGUCGAGCGAACGGACGAGAAGCUUGCUUCUCUGGUGUUAGCGGCGGACGGGUGAGUAACACGUGGAUAACCUACCUAUAAGACUGGGAUAACUUCGGGAAACCGGAGCUAAUACCGGAUAAUAUUUUGAACCGCAUGGUUCAAAAGUGAAAGACGGUCUUGCUGUCACUUAUAGAUGGAUCCGCGCUGCAUUAGCUAGUUGGUAAGGUAACGGCUUACCAAGGCAACGAUGCAUAGCCGACCUGAGAGGGUGAUCGGCCACACUGGAACUGAGACACGGUCCAGACUCCUACGGGAGGCAGCAGUAGGGAAUCUUCCGCAAUGGGCGAAAGCCUGACGGAGCAACGCCGCGUGAGUGAUGAAGGUCUUCGGAUCGUAAAACUCUGUUAUUAGGGAAGAACAUAUGUGUAAGUAACUGUGCACAUCUUGACGGUACCUAAUCAGAAAGCCACGGCUAACUACGUG
rnacentral:rRNA from 1 species